rnacentral:rRNA from 1 species
GACGAACGCUGGCGGCGUGCCUAAUACAUGCAAGUAGGACGCAGUUGCGAACGGGUGAGUAACGCGUAGGUCACUGCCUAUUAGAGGGGGAUAACUAUUGGAAACGAUAGCUAAUACCGCAUACUAGUAGAUGGACCUGCGUUGUAUUAGCGAGUGGGUGAGGUAAUGGCUCACCAAGGCCCCGAUGCAUAGCCGACCUGAGAGGGUGAUCAGGCCCACUGGGACUGAGACACGGCCCAGACUCCUACGGGAGGCAGCAGUAGGGAAUCUUCGGCAAUGGGCGAAAGUCUGACCGAGCAAUGCCGCGUGAGUGAAGAAGGUUUUCGGAUCGUAAAACUCUGUUGUUAGGUAAGCGGUAUCUAACCAGAAAGCCACGGCUAACUACGUGCCAGCAGCCGCGGUAAUAC